rnacentral:rRNA from 1 species
UACGUAGGGAGCAAGCGUUGUCCGGAAUCAUUGGGCGUAAAGCGCGCGUAGGUGGCUUCGUAAGUCCGUUGUGAAAGUCAAAGGCUCAACCUUUGAAAGCCGAUGGAUACUGCGGAGCUAGAGUACGGAAGAGGCGAGUGGAAUUCCGGGUGUAGCGGUGGAAUGCGUAGAGAUCCGGAAGAACACCGGUGGCGAAGGCGGCCUGCUGGGCAGUAGCUGACGCUGAAGCGCGACAGCGUGGGGAGCAAACAGG